rnacentral:rRNA from 1 species
AUUGAACGCUGGCGGCAGGCCUAACACAUGCAAGUCGAACGAGCGGCGGACGGGUGAGUAAUGUCUGGGAAACUGCCCGAUGGAGGGGGAUAACUACUUGAAACGGUGGCUAAUACCGCAUACCAUCAGAUGUGCCAAUAUGGGAUUAGCUAGUAGGUGGGGUAACGGCUCACCUAGGCGACGAUCGCGCGCUGGGCUGAGAGGAUGACCAGCCACACGGGAACGGAGACACGGCCCAGACUCCUACGGGAGGCAGCAGUGGGGAAUAUUGCACAAUGGGCGCAAGCCUGAUGCAGCCAGGCCGCGUGUAUGAAGAAGGCCGUCGGGUGGUAAAGUACUUUCAGCUGGGAGGCGUUACCCGCAGAAGAAGCACCGGCUAACUCCGUGCCAGCAGCCGCGGUAAUUC